UAGAGUUUGAUCAUGGCUCAGAUUGAACGCUGGCGGCAGGCCUAACACAUGCAAGUCGAGCGGCAGCGACUUAACUGAACCUUCGGGGAACGUUAAGGGCGGCGAGCGGCGGACGGGUGAGUAAUGCCUGGGAAUAUGCCCUGAUGUGGGGGAUAACUAUUGGAAACGAUAGCUAAUACCGCAUAAUCUCUUCGGAGCAAAGAGGGGGACCUUCGGGCCUCUCGCGUCAGGAUUAGCCCAGGUGGGAUUAGCUUGUUGGUGAGGUAAUGGCUCACCAAGGCAACGAUCCCUAGCUGGUCUGAGAGGAUGAUCAGCCACACUGGAACUGAGACACGGUCCAGACUCCUACGGGAGGCAGCAGUGGGGAAUAUUGCACAAUGGGGGAAACCCUGAUGCAGCCAUGCCGCGUGUGUGAAGAAGGCCUUCGGGUUGUAAAGCACUUUCAGUAGGGAGGAAGGUAGUGUAGUUAACACCUGCAUUAUUUGACGUUACCUACAGAAGAAGCACCGGCUAACUCCGUGCCAGCAGCCGCGGUAAUACGGAGGGUGCGAGCGUUAAUCGGAAUUACUGGGCGUAAAGCGCAUGCAGGCGGCCUGUUAAGUCAGAUGUGAAAGCCCGGGGCUUAACCUCGGAAUUGCAUUUGAAACUGGC
rnacentral:rRNA from 1 species